rnacentral:rRNA from 1 species
AGUGAACGCUGGCGGUAGGCCUAACACAUGCAAGUCAAACGGCAGCACAGUAAGAGCUUGCUCUUACGGGUGGCGAGUGGCGGACGGGUGAGGAAUACAUCGGAAUCUACUUUUUCGUGGGGGAUAACGUAGGGAAACUUACGCUAAUACCGCAUACGACCUACGGGUGAAAGCAGGGGAUCUUCGGACCUUGCGCGAUUGAAUGAGCCGAUGUCGGAUUAGCUAGUUGGCGGGGUAAAGGCCCACCAAGGCGACGAUCCGUAGCUGGUCUGAGAGGAUGAUCAGCCACACUGGAAAUGAGACACGGUCCAGACUCCUACGGGAGGCAGCAGUGGGGAAUAUUGGACAAUGGGCGCAAGCCUGAUCCAGCCAUACCGCGUGGGUGAAGAAGGCCUUCGGGUUGUAAAGCCCUUUUGUUGGGAAAGAAAAGCAGCAGGUUAAUACCCCGCUGUUCUGACGGUACCCAAAGAAUAAGCACCGGCUAACUUCGUG